UACAGAGGGGGGAAGCGUUGUUCGGAAUUACUGGGCGUAAAGGGCGCGUAGGCGGCCUGUUAAGUCGAACGUGAAAUCCCUGGGCUCAACCCAGGAACUGCGUCCGAUACUGGCAGGCUUGAAUUCGGGAGAGGGAUGCGGAAUUCCAGGUGUAGCGGUGAAAUGCGUAGAUAUCAGGAGGAACACCGGUGGCGAAGGCGGGUCUCUGGGCCGGUUUUGACGCUGAGGAGCGAUAGCGUGGGGAGCGAACAGG
rnacentral:rRNA from 1 species